GACGAACGCUGGCGGCGUGCCUAACACAUGCAAGUCGAACGGAGAAUUUAGCAAUGAAUUCUUAGUGGCGAACGGGUGAGUAACGCGUAGACAACCUGCCUUUUAGAUGGGGACAACACCGCGAAAGUGGUGCUAAUACCGAAUGUUGCAUUUGAUCGCAUGAUUGAGAUACUAAAUAUGGCCUCUAUUUAUAAGCUAUCGCUAAAAGCUGGGUCUGCGUUUGAUUAGCUAGUUGGUGAGGUAAUGGCUCACCAAGGCGACGAUCAGUAGCCGGUCUGAGAGGAGGAGCGGCGACACUGGGACUGAGACACGGCCCAGACUCCUACGGGAGGCAGGAGUGGGGAAUCUUCCGCAAUGGACGAAAGUCUGACGGAGCAACGCCGCGUGAGUGAAGAAGGUUUUCGGAUCGUAAAACUCUGUCUUCAGGGACGAAUGUGCAGAUUGUGAAUAAUGAUUUGUAAUGACGGUACCUGAGUAGAAAGCCACGGCUAACUACGUGCCAGCCGCCGCCGUAA
rnacentral:rRNA from 1 species